rnacentral:tRNA from 2 species
GGAGAGGUGGCUGAGCGGUCGAAAGCGGCGGUCUUGAAAACCGUUGAAGGUUUACGCCUUCCCAGGGUUCGAAUCCCUGCCUCUCCGCCA